CUACAAGUAUGAAGCGACUGGAACAUUGAGAAAAUACUUGCAUAAUCUGAUCAUUUAAACGAUUCUGAAACCUCAAACAUCCUUCUUUCCUGAGGUAUAUGCCGCUGGUGAAUUGCUGCGCUAUCGUAAUUGAGCAGCAGCUAUAAUUAAAUAUCAUAAAUCUAAAGCAACUGGAAGAGAUAAAGCUCGCAUCAGCAGAACUUCUAAGUGAUACUGCCACAUCGGACUUCCUUCAAUGCUGAGGUACUUGUCAAUUACUACUGAAGUCAGCAAAUAUCACAAAUCUAAAGCCACUGGAAUUCACAUCAGCUGAACAGUUAAGAGUUCCUGUCAUCGGACUUCCUUCCAUGCUCAAAUACACAAUAGAGCAACUACAAUUUGUAAUUAAACAUUUAAAACAGCUGAAAUAUAUUAGAGAAUACUCGCAUCAGCUGAUCAGUUGAAGAGUUGCUGCCACAUCAUCAUCGGGCUUCCCUAGUUCUAGAGGCACAUGCCAAUAGAGCCACUGGCUAUAGGCUAUAUUGUGAUGGCAGCAGGUCGACUUAUGUACCUACGCUGGAUCAGACACGACACAAAUCCUUGAACAAAGGACAACCUGGCAAAAAAAAGAGAGAGAAGAGACGAACAUGCUUUUGCCUUUGGACAGGUGAUGAACAUCUUUGUGUUCGUCGAAUGCCACACAGAACUGAAGUCAGCAAUAGAACCUGUGCCUAGGCAAACGUUGGAUAAGAUGCCUAUCGCUAUUUCAAUUCCUAUUAUUCGCAAAAAAAAAAAGAAGAAAUACAAAGCCAAAAAACAAUAGAGAUGUGCACACAAAAGCGGGUAGCUAAAGCAGCUGACAAAUCUGAAGAGAUGAAGAUGCUAUUAGAAUGCCAGCACGCCAGCCAGCCAGCUGCUGACUCAGGACUUAGGCAGGCUGAGGAUUUUGGCAAGGUGCUUGCGUCAUAAACUGGACUAGAUCGAGAGGCAAGCUGCGCUCCACUUGGAUAGAUUGAUAUCACACACAGUUAGAUGGCAACUUUUACACACACGAAGCAACUAAAUGUUGUAUUUCUUUCUAAUCUUACGAUUCCUGCACGAUUUAUUACAACUAUUGACGUUUGAUGUUUCUUAGUUA